UUAACCUUGAUCAAAAGCAGUAAAUCUAUUGGUUGUGAACCCGCAGUAUAACCUGGAGGAAUUCAGGAAGCUGAUUGGCCGUCAAAACUUCACAUGUUAAAUAGAACCAGGUGUGCUUUGGUGAUGAUUAGUGAGCGGAGGGAUCUCUGUCGGCAAGGUGAAUGUGCUUCUCCUACCCAAGUUGGUGGUGAUACUGAUACUGGAGAAAGAUUGCUAAAGCAUGUAUGGAUGUAACCAUUGAGUUUGGAGUAAACCAAAUGCUGAGACGGCGGUGAAAAGCCACAAUGUGUUCAUCAACUUUAUAGAAGCUACUGGUUAUUAAGCUAAGCAUCUGAGCUAAGCAUCUGAGUGAAGCAUCUGAAUUGAACUCCGAAAAUAAGCAGAGGAAGACCAAGUUGCGGUUGAAAGAUUUUAAUAAAUUGCUUCGAUGAUGAA